rnacentral:rRNA from 1 species
GACGAACGCUGGCGGCGUGCCUAAUACAUGCAAGUAGAACGCACAGUUUAUACCGUAGCUUGCUACACCAUAGACUGUGAGUUGCGAACGGGUGAGUAACGCGUAGGUAACCUGCCUGGUAGCGGGGGAUAACUAUUGGAAACGAUAGCUAACACCGCAUAAUAUUAAUUAUUGCAUGAUAAUUAAUUGAAAGGUGCAAUUGCACCACUACCAGAUGGACCUGCGUUGUAUUAGCUAGUAGGUGAGGUAACGGCUCACCUAGGCGACGAUACAUAGCCGACCUGAGAGGGUGAUCGGCCACACUGGGACUGAGACACGGCCCAGACUCCUACGGGAGGCAGCAGUAGGGAAUCUUCGGCAAUGGACGAAAGUCUGACCGAGCAACGCCGCGUGAGUGAAGAAGGUUUUCGGAUCGUAAAGCUCUGUUGUAAGAGAAGAACGGGUGUGAGAGUGGAAAGUUCACACUGUGACGGUAUCUUACCAGAAAGGGACGGCUAACUACGUG